rfam:Glomerella graminicola M1.001 genomic scaffold supercont1.112, whole genome shotgun sequence.
UACCUAGUUAAUUCUACUAGUAGUUAUAUACUUAUCUUAAAGAUUAAGCUAUAUAUGUCUAAGUAUAAGCAAUUAUAUAGUGAAACUGUAAAUAGCUUAUUAUAUAAGUUAUUAUUUAUUUAAUAGUACCUUACUAUAUAGAUAACUAUAGUAAUUCUAGAGCUAAUAUAUACUAAAAACCCUAACUUAUAAAGAGGUGUAUUUAUUAGAUUAAAAACCAAUGCCCUUUAGGGCUUACUAGUGAUUUAUAAUAACUUCUUAAAUCAUAUAGCCUUACGCUAGCAAUAGUUUAUUUAAAUUUCUUCCCUAUUAACUUUUAAUACUAGAGUAGUGUUCUAGUAUAGUUAUAACAGGUAACAGAGGGUUAGGGCUUGACCCUAGAGAAGGAGCCUAAGAAACGGCUACUAUAUCUAAGGAAGGCAGCAGGUGCGUAAAUUACCUAAUCCUGACAUAGGGAGGUAGUGACAAUAAAUACUAAUAUAGGGCUCUUUUAGGUCUUAUAAUUAGAAUAAGUAUAAUUUAAAUCCCUUAAUAAGGAAUAAUUAGAGGGUAAGUCUGGUGCUAGCAGCUAUAGUAAUUCUAGCUUUAAUAGCGUAUAUUAAAGUUGUUAUAGUUAAAAAGCUUGUAGUAGAACCUUAGGCCUAGCUAGCUAGUCUACCUCACCGCGUGCACUAGUCUAGCUAGGCCUUUCCCUCUGCAGAACCAUAUGCCCUUUACUAGGUGUGCUAGGGAAGUAGGACUUUUACUUUAAAAAAAUUAGAGUGCUUUAGGCAGGCCUAUACUUAAAUAUAUUAGUAUAGAAUAAUAGAAUAGGACGUGUAGUUCUAUUUUAUUAGUUUCUAGGACUACUGUAAUAAUUAAUAGGGACAGUUAGGGGCAUUAGUAUUUAAUUAUUAGAGGUAAAAUUCUUAGAUUUAUUAAAGACUAACUACUAUAAAAGUAUUUACUAAGGAUGUUUUUAUUUAUUAGGAAUAAAAGUUAGGGGAUUAAAGAUAAUUAGAUACUGUUAUAGUCUUAACUAUAAACUAUACUAACUAGGGAUUAGAUAAUGUUAUUUUUUAACUUAUUUAGCACCUUACAAGAAAUUAAAGUGCUUAGGCUCUAGGGGGAGUAUAGUCGUAAGGCUGAAACUUAAAGAAAUUAACAGAAGGGCACCACUAGGGGUAGAGCCUGUAGCUUAAUUUAACUUAACAUAGGGAAACUUACUAGGUCUAGAUAUAAUAAGGAUUAAUAGAUUAAGAGCUCUUUCUUAAUUUUGUAGGUAGUAGUGUAUAGCUGUUCUUAGUUAGUGGAGUGAUUUAUCUGCUUAAUUAUAAUAAUAAACAAGACCUUAACCUGCUAAAUAGCCUGUAUUACUUUAGUAGUACGCUAGCUUCUUAGAGGGACUAUUAGCUUAAGCUAAUAGAAGUGCAAGGUAAUAACAGGUCUAUAAUGCCCUUAGAUGUUCUAGGCCGCACGCACGUUACACUAACAGAGCCAGUAAGUACUCCCUUGGCCGGAAGGCCUAGGUAAUCUUAUUAAACUCCGUCGUGCUAGGGAUAAAGCAUUAUAAUUAUUGCUCUUUAAUAAGGAAUCCCUAGUAAGCGCAAGUUAUUAGCUUACGUUAAUUACGUCUCUACCUUUUAUAUACACUGCCUGUUACUACUACUAAUUAAAUAGCUUAGUAAGGCUUUUAGACUAGCCUAGAGAGGUAGGUAACUACCACUUAAGGCUAGAAAGUUAUCUAAACUUAGUUAUUUAGAGGAAGUAAAAGUCGUAAUAAGGUCUCUAUUAGUAAACUAGUGGAGGGAUUAUUA